AUUAGGUAGUAGGUAGGGUAAUGGCCUACCUAGCCUAUGAUGGAUAGGGGUUCUGAGAGGAAGGUCCCCCACAUUGGAACUGCGACACGGUCCAAACUCCUACGGGAGGCAGCAGUGAGGAAUAUUGGUCAAUGGCCGGAAGGCUGAACCAGCCAAGUAGCGUGCAGGAAGACUGCCUUAUGGGUUGUAAACUGCUUUUUUACGGGAAUAAUUAUGAUCACGUGUGAUUAUUUGCAUGUACCGUAAGAAUAAGGAUCGGCUAACUCCGUGCCAGCAGCCGCGGUAAUACGGAGGAUCCUAGUGUUAUCCGGAUUUAUUGGGUUUAAAGGGAGCGUAGGCGGGAGGUCAAGUCAGCUGUGAAAUGUAUCUGCUUAACGGGUACACUGCAGUUGAAACUGGUUUUCUUGAGUGCGUAAGAGGCAGGCGGAAUUCGUUGUGUAGCGGUGAAAUGCUUAGAUAUGACGAGGAACUCCUAUUGCGAAGGCAGCUUGCUGGUCGUUACUGACGCUGAUGCUCGAAGGUGCGGGGAUCAAACAGGAUUAGAUACCCUGGUAGUCCGCACAGUAAACUAUGGAUACUCUCUGCCGGCGAUAUAUUGUCGGUGGCCAAGCGAAAGCGUUAA
rnacentral:rRNA from 1 species